rnacentral:rRNA from 1 species
CAGGCUCAGGACGAACGCUGGCGGCGUGCCUAAUACAUGCAAGUCGAGCGGACAGAAGGGAGCUUGCUCCCGGAUGUUAGCGGCGGACGGGUGAGUAACACGUGGGUAACCUGCCUGUAAGACUGGGAUAACUCCGGGAAACCGGAGCUAAUACCGGAUAGUUCCUUGAACCGCAUGGUUCAAGGAUGAAAGACGGUUUCGGCUGUCACUUACAGAUGGACCCGCGGCGCAUUAGCUAGUUGGUGGGGUAAUGGCUCACCAAGGCGACGAUGCGUAGCCGACCUGAGAGGGUGAUCGGCCACACUGGGACUGAGACACGGCCCAGACUCCUACGGGAGGCAGCAGUAGGGAAUCUUCCGCAAUGGACGAAAGUCUGACGGAGCAACGCCGCGUGAGUGAUGAAGGUUUUCGGAUCGUAAAGCUCUGUUGUUAGGGAAGAACAAGUGCGAGAGUAACUGCUCGCACCUUGACGGUACCUAACCAGAAAGCCACGGCUAACUACGUGCCAGCAGCCGCGGUAAUACGUAGGUGGCAAGCGUUGUCCGGAAUUAUUGGGCGUAAAGGGCUCGCAGGCGGUUUCUUAAGUCUGAUGUGAAAGCCCCCGGCUCAACCGGGGAGGGUCAUUGGAAACUGGGAAACUUGAGUGCAGAAGAGGAGAGUGGAAUUCCACGUGUAGCGGUGAAAUGCGUAGAGAUGUGGAGGAACACCAGUGGCGAAGGCGACUCUCUGGUCUGUAACUGACGCUGAGGAGCGAAAGCGUGGGGAGCGAACAGGAUUAGAUACCUUGGUUAGUCCAAA